rnacentral:rRNA from 1 species
UACGUAGGCAGCAAGCGUUGUCCGGAGUUACUGGGCGUAAAGAGUGCGUAGGUGGUGCCCUAAGUCUGUUGUGAAAUCUCCCGGCUUAACUGGGAGGGUGCGGUGGAAACUGGGGUGCUUGAGUGUGGGAGAGGUAAGCGGGAAUUCCUGGUGUAGCGGUGAAAUGCGUAGAUAUCAGGAGGAACACCGGUGGUGUAGACGGCUUACUGGACCACGACUGACACUGAGGCACGAAAGCGUGGGUAGCAAACAGG